rnacentral:rRNA from 1 species
ACGCACGCUGGCGGCGCGCCUAACACAUGCAAGUCGAACGAGCGAGAGAGAGCUUGCUUUCUUGAGCGAGUGGCGAACGGGUGAGUAACGCGUGAGGAACCUGCCUCAAAGAGGGGGACAACAGUUGGAAACGACUGCUAAUACCGCAUAAGCCCACGGUGCCGCAUGGCACAGAGGGAAAAGGAGCAAUCCGCUUUGAGAUGGCCUCGCGUCCGAUUAGCUAGUUGGUGAGGUAACGGCCCACCAAGGCGACGAUCGGUAGCCGGACUGAGAGGUUGAACGGCCACAUUGGGACUGAGACACGGCCCAGACUCCUACGGGAGGCAGCAGUGGGGAAUAUUGCACAAUGGGGGAAACCCUGAUGCAGCGACGCCGCGUGGAGGAAGAAGGUCUUCGGAUUGUAAACUCCUGUUGUUGGGGAAGAUAAUGACGGUACCCAACAAGGAAGUGACGGCUAACUACGUG